CAGGACAAUGUGGUGUUUAAGCUUGUACCUGGAAUCGCAAACCUACCCGAAGUCCAACUCCGAUUGUGGCUUGGAUUUUGCCCAUAGCGGGUGAUAGGCCCGUACGGGUAGGCUGUUGUAUUUAUGCGGUUCUCAGAUGUGCUUGCUUUCGAGUCGGAUUGCUUGAGAAUGCAGUCCAAAGUGGGUGGUAAACUCCAUCCAAGGCUAAAUACUGGCACGAGUCCGAUAGUAGACAAGUACCGUGAGGGAAAGUUGAAAAGUACUCUGAAGAGAGAGUAAACAGUACGUGAAGCCGGUUGCAGGGAAGCUGGUGGAGUCAAGCUUCAUGCUUGAAGGAUUUGUAUCAGCAGCUUUUGUUGUUUGGAUACGGUGGUGAUCAACUUGAAAUUAGUUGGGCGCAUCCGUGUGCUUCAAGUCAUUCCGGGUUGUGUGUUUGAUGUCACUAUCGUUUUUCAGCUGCUGAUGCUCUAUUCUUCGUUGCAUAAAUCAUGGUCAAUAGCAUUUGUUUACGUGUUACGUGAUUGUCUAACUGUACUUUGGCAGGCAUUAGUUUGUCGGGUACAGGAUGGCAGGUUGCGGCUCAGAUCCUUGUGUUCUGUUUGUCGCUUAUAGUGGUUUUGACCAGCUGAUGAUCACGUAAUAUCGUUGCUAUUGUUGUUGAUUGGUAUUCAGUCUUCGGACUCUAUACUGGUUAGAACCAUGAUUCUGAGGUAGAUUUUCCACCCGACCCGUCUUGAAACACGGACCAAGGAGUUUAACAUGCGCGCAAGUCACUGGGCUUAUUAUGAAACCCAAAGGCGCAAUGAAAGUGAAAGGCUUUUGUCUUAGGUGUGAUUCUGGUUUGCUUUAACAAGGCGGCUAGACGCAGCACCGGCCCGUCUCAUAAUGUUGUCAUGCUAGCUACGGCUGGUAUGCGUCAUAGAGGCGGAGCAAGAGCGCGCAUGUUGAGACCCGAAAGAUGGUGAACUAUGCUUGCGUAGGUUGAAGCCAGAGGAAACUCUGGUGGAGGACCGAAGCGGUUUUGACGUGCAAAUCGAUCGUCAAACGUGAGCAUAGGGGCGAAAGACUAAUCGAACCAUCUAGUAGCUGGUUCCCUCCGAAGUUUCCCUCAGGAUAGCUGGCACUCAUUUUGCUUAAUCAGUUUUAUCCGGUAAAGCGAAUGAUUAGAGGUAUUGGGGACUAAUUGUCCUCAACCUAUUCUCAAACUAUAAAUGGGUACGAUGCUCGGCUCGCUCGAAUGGAGUCAAGCAUUGAAUGUGAGUGCCAAGUGGGCCAUUUUUGGUAAGCAGAACUGGCGCUGUGGGAUGCUCCGAACGUCCAGAUAAGGUGCCCAACGUGACGCUCAUGAGAUACCAGAAAAGGUGUUAAUGCAUAUAGACAGCAGGACGGUGGCCAUGAAAGUCGGAAUCCGCUAAGGAG
rnacentral:rRNA from 1 species